ACUCCUCAUCUCAUGCUUAUCUUCCCGAACCCCUCUCACAACUCCUCAUCUCAUGCCUAUCUUCCCGAACCCCUCUCACGCCCUCUCCUUCCAACUCCUACUCUCAUGUCCUCUCCAUCCAACUCCUCUCCAGCAAACCCCUCUCCGGCGAACUCCUCUCUGCAAACCUCCUCUCCACGAACCUCCUCUCCUCUGAAUUCCUUCUCCUCUUCGUCAAAUAGCAAAUACCCUAAUCACUCCGCUCUUGGAUCGCCGCCUCUGCACUAGAUCUACUCGCCGGUGGUUUCCUCUGCAGAAAUGGCAAAUGCUUGGAUUUCAAGAGCAUCAAAGUAUCGGAGUUCAGUUUGGAAGGUUAGCGACAAAUGGCCAGGUUAUAAUGCCAGUGACUCAGAUUCUGAUGAGGAGAAGAUUAACAUCAAAUCAUCAGCAGAAGGACCUGGUUCAUAAGUUUACAGAAGCGGAGUAUUCUCGAGAAGAAAUUGAUGAGGUGCGAUCGGAGUUAGCAGAAUGUAUACAAGAUCAUAUUUAUGAGUAGGUCAAACAAAAUAUGACUGACAGAACUCAUCAACUUCUAGAUGCUCGAUCAAAGGGCAGAUACACAGUGGUAGGUGUUUUGUCCCAGUCUCAAGC